rnacentral:siRNA from 1 species
UUUAGGUGGGUGCGGAAACUG